rnacentral:rRNA from 1 species
CAAUAGCGUAUAUUAAAGUUGUUGCAGUUAAAAAGCUCGUAGUUGGAUUUCUGGUGGGAGCGAUCGGUCUGGCGCUUAGCGCGAGUACUUGCAUCGUCUCCGGCCAUCCUUGGGGAGAGUCUGUCUGGCAUUAGGUUGUCGGGCAGAGGAUCCUCAUCGUUUACUGUGAAAAAAUUAGAGUGUUCAAAGCAGGCUUAUGCCGUUGAAUAUAUUAGCAUGGAAUAAUAAGAUAGGACUUUGGUACUAUUUUGUUGGUUUGCGCACCAAAGUAAUGAUUAAUAGGGACAGUUGGUGGUAUUCGUAUUCCGUUGUCAGAGGUGAAAUUCUUGGAUUUACGGAAGACGAACUACUGCGAAAGCAUUUACCAAGGAUGUUUUCAUUAA